ACACGUGAGUAACCUGCCCUUGACUUUGGGAUAACUUCAGGAAACUGGGGCUAAUACCGGAUAGGAGCUCCUGAUGCAUGGUGGGGGUUGGAAAGUUUCGGCGGUUGGGGAUGGACUCGCGGCUUAUCAGCUUGUUGGUGGGGUAGUGGCUUACCAAGGCUUUGACGGGUAGCCGGCCUGAGAGGGUGACCGGCCACAUUGGGACUGAGAUACGGUCCAG
rnacentral:rRNA from 1 species